rfam:Lepisosteus oculatus linkage group LG17, whole genome shotgun sequence.
UAAAGCAGCCAUAUCACCCACAACUGGCAACCCACUGAAGCUAAGCAGGUGUGAGCUUGGUCAGUACCUGGAUGGGAGACCUCCUGGGGAAAACUAAGGUUGCUGCUGGAA